AAACUUACCAGGUCCAGACUUUGUAAGGAUUGACAGAUUGAUAGCUCUUCUUGAUUCAAAGGGUGGUGGUGCAUGGCCGUUUUGGUUGGUGGAUCGAUCCGUCUGGUUAAUUCCGUUAACGAACGAGACCUCGGCACUCCGAAUAGCGCGGCGGACGUCGCGGCCUCCGGGCCGUCUUCCGCACGAGCUUCUUAGAGGGGACCGUCCCCCGCCGGGGAAGGAGGUGCGAGGCAACGACAGGUCUGUGAUGCCCUUAGAUGUUCUGGGCCGCACGCGCAUUACACUGACGCGUCCAACGGGUGACUCCCGACCCGAAGGGGCCGGGGAAUCCGCAAGGCGCGUCGUGAUGGGGAUUGAACGUUGCAAUUGUUGUUCACGAACGAGGAAUUCCUAGUAGGCGCGGGUCAUCAACCCGCGCCGAUUACGUCCCUGCCCG
rnacentral:rRNA from 1 species